rnacentral:misc_RNA from 1 species
AUAUUUUUGAAAAUGCCAUUUUCCCAUUUUCGUUUUUGCAUUUCCUUGUGUCCGCGUUUCCAUUUCCAUGCUACAUAGUUUUAGUCUAUAGUUCUACCAUUGUUAUUAUCAGAUUCGGCAUAACAUGUAAAUUAUAAACUUGAUUAUGGCUUGAACCUGUGGUUGAAUCAGAAUUUUCUUCUUUUUAAACUUAAUGAAUCUUAAAUCCUCCAAAAAUAUGUUCUCCUUAGUCAUUUUUUUUGUCAUGCUUUUUUUUCCUGCUCACCCAACAGGAUGCAGAUGGUGAGGAUAAUAUGUUUCUACAAAUUAUUUAUUCAUUACUUUAUUUCUAUGGCUCAUUUUCUUUAAUGACUGUGUUUCACUUGACUCUUCAGUUCCAUGUCUUGUGGCCAAACUCAUUUACUUGAAUGGGAUAAUGUGUCAUUUUGCCUGGUUCUUAGUGUAAACUUUGCUUUCAUUUGCUUUUUGUCAUAUGUUACUUCGAAUAGUUUUGCCUUCUAGAAAGAAGAUUUUCUGUCUGCAAGAGAUGUUAGUUUCCACUGUUUAAAUUGUUUGUAGCACCCAAUGAUGUGGCAAGAAAUUACUGGCGCAUUUCUCUUUGCAGUCUUAAAAUCUUCCUGCUCUUAAUUUCGUUAUUGUUAUAUUGCUUCAGAUUACCUAUCAUUUUUUUCACUGG